UCUUGGGACAAAAUACAUUUGCUCAAUUAUUAUGUUUCUUUUGUUUUUAUCAAGACAAAGAUUGGAUAUUUUUGAAUAAACAAGAUGAGAAAAUGGGUAUCUCAACAUCCAUGAAUUGAAUGCAAAUAUCUUUGAGGGUUCUCGGCACAGACCUGUUACAUAAUAAUAUUGUCUGGAAGAAUUGUCAUCAGUCACCACAGCAAGUUUGUAGGCUGCAUACCGGAGAGGUUGUACCACCUACAUGAUCGAUUGAUUCAAUGCUGCAAAACCGAGAGGCCACUUAUAAGAGUUCACAUGUAUUGUCAAUUACUAAAUCCAAGACUUGCAUUUAUAAUUAUCAACACAAAUCUAGUGCUAUUUGAUUCUUAUAAAAUCACCUGCAGCCAAAAACAUUAACAGAUGCAACCUUGUUAUGGUUUAUUCAUUGAUCACAAUGCAAGCAUCACUAUAUGACAUAGGUGGUCUGCAUAAUGUCAUAUAUACAGGAUAAAUGUUGUGAGAAAUAGUUCAAACUCUAAAGAGUUAGCUUUUUUGUACUUUGCCUGAGUUGAUUUGUUUCUUCCUUAGAGAAUUCCUUUGAAACCAUUAUCAAUAGGCUAAUCCAACACAACCAUGCACUCCAUUUUGCAUUUGCAAAAGCACUUCAUAUUGUAGUUGCAAAAUUGCAUUUAGGACUAGGUCAUCAAAGCAAAAUUUCUAACAUAUGUGCCUCAUAUAUCAUCUCAGUGACAGUUUCACAGUCAUAAUAAGGCAAUAGAGACCAUACACGUUUUGAAUAAAAAGUUCAUAUUAAAAUUUCUUUAAAGGCGACCAUCCUUUUUUCCUUUAUGAGGGUCAUUAAGUUCAUAACACAAAAUCACAUCUAGUUGCAGUUGCAAAUUGAAUUUAGGGACUAAGGGUCAUCAAAUCAAAAUAGGCAUCCAUUCAUGCAUUAUGAAUAAAGGUUC
rnacentral:lncRNA from 1 species